UACACAACAUACCAUAUACAGGGUAUAGCUUUGGGAAACUGAAGGUAAUCCCCCAUAACAUUGCGAGAGGGCAUCUGAUUGCAAUUAAAGUUUCGGCGGUAUAUGAUUGGUGUGCGUUUGAUUAGCUAGUUGGUAGGGUAACGGCCUACCAAGGCGACGAUCAAUAGCUGGGCGUGAGAGCGCGACAGCCACACUGGAACUGAGACACGGUCCAGACUCCUACGGGAGGCAGCAGUAGGGAAUAUUGGACAAUGGAGGAAACUCUGAUCCAGCCAUGCCGCGUGAUAGAUGAAGGCCCUCUGGGUUGUAAAUAUCUUUUAUCUGGGAAGAAACAAUCUUAUCUCUUAAGAUCUUGAGGUACCAACAGGACAUAAGCGCCGGCUAAACUCCGCUGGAGCAGCCGGGAAUACGGACGGGGUGAGANUAAUCAGGAAUUCACAGGUAUAAACNGGUNCAACAGACGGUAAUCAAAGCUGUAUCCGAGACCAAACACNCGGGGAAACAUGGACCAUCAACACCCCGCACAGAACUUCGACAUCGCGCAAAACGAGCCCAAANCCAGACUANGGACGAUUAAGGCAUCGGCGGAGACAGAAAGGC
rnacentral:rRNA from 1 species